rnacentral:misc_RNA from 1 species
ACAAGUCAAUCUUCAGAACACAGUAAGUCAAACUAAUUGGUUCAUAAGAUUUUUAAUGGAUUUGAUAUUAACUGGGCAAUUUAUCUCAAUUUCUUGGCCUGUCAAUUAUAGAAUUGUCCUUGCAUUUGUCAUACCAGUCAGAUUCCUGAAAUAUAUGCUUCUAAAGUAGCCAUGAGUUGCAUGUUUUAGAUUUUCAUUCUGGUGAUUCAUUUUAUAGUGACUACUUUAUCCUUUAAUACCAAAUCAUUAAGUAUGCAUGAAAUACAUGGUAAAUGCAUAAAUUUGAAAUAGAAGUUCAGAAAUGUUAGUGAUGACAUAUCCAGGCGAGAUUAAUCAUAUUGUUGCAGAAUAUAUAAUAAUACCAUGAAUGCACGACACUUGCUACUAGGAACUGCUUGGGCAAUGGCAUGAUGAAGAUCCACUGAUUAUAACAGAAGAAAAAGAAGGGGAGUGGGGGAUAAUCAUGACUAAAGUAAGCUAAAAAUGCAGAAGAAGAGAUCAAUAUGUUGAUGAUAUUAGAUGUUAUGCAAAUUACUAAUCCUAGGAAUCUAUGAAGGGUGCCUGCUUGUCCAGUUUGGUUCCUUUUUUUCUUUAGUGAGCAUUCAUUUGAUCUAUAUUUUCUAUGUUAAAUGCAUCAUCUGGUUUAGAUAUCUAACGUCAUCUUAUAUUUACUCAGCAUUUGGAAAAUACA